rnacentral:sRNA from 2 species
GAAUCGGAAUCGCCUAUAUAUCAAAAAAUCGCGACAUACUCGCUGUGGAUACAUUUGUCGCUAGCUUCGACGCUGGGUGACGAGUUCUGAUAAACUUGUUGAAAUCCCAGCUGUCUAGGCUGUUAAACAAACAAGCCCCCACAUCUCCUCCACUUCUGGUCGUGGUUCUCAAUUGUCAUGUUUGUAUUUGAUGUUUUUUCACAACGUCAAACUAGAGUCAUGAUCAACUAGAUCCUCUUCUCCUGAAGAGGAGUGGGACUUCGAUGAUGGCAGAUCUUUUGCAGAUUGCAAAAUUACAUUUUGACUAAGGUAAAACAGGAUGAUCUUGUUGUGCUCCAGGGUUGUGUUAUUGAGUUGAACAGAAAAUUCAACGUUGCUGGGGAGGAGAUUGUGUAGUGGAGUCGAACUUCAACUCUUAUAUGAUCAUCCCCUUCUUCGGGCUGCAAUAAUUGAAUGCUAAACUAUGCACCUAGGCUUCCGGCAUCCAGCGUGUCUGUGAGCUAUAGCUUGCAAAUGAUGGAUAAGCUCUAUCCUGUCCCACUUGGCGGCUGUCUCGCGCCAUUGUGUUCGGUGAAGCGAAUUCUAGAACCGCAGAGCUAAUGCUCCGAGUGCUCCUUUUGGAAGGCGCAAGGAGAAAAUAAAAUAAAAAUAAAGGAAUGAACAAAGGAAUAAUAUUCGCAUAAUUCAAACCUUCAAGCCAAGUAAGCAAGAAGCAGCGCAAGGAGAAGAGGCUGGCUACUCUUCAAUCCAUCUGCACAUGAGGACAAACGGAGAAUGGGCUCAAACAAGCAGAUCACAGAAGGCGCGGUCCAGACGUAUACCUGCAGAUAUCCAUCGAAAUGCAGUCCAUCCAUAGAGAUUCAUCCAGGCCACGCGCGACCCUCCCCCCACGUCCUCUAAAGAUAUGACUGGGUUUACCCCAGCCGAAGGAGGCUUAUCCACGCAAUCUACAACCAUCCUUGCUGCUCUAGAUGGCCAUGAUCCUUUCGGUCAUGGGUAUUUCUCAACAGGCCAGGGGUGGUGGGGGAGGUAACCGGAAAAGUAGAGUUGGCAAAUAUAUUGCAUGAGUUAUGCAUCACCUCCCCGGAGUUGCAAUGAUGCUACGGAUGUUUGAUCAGACCACUCAUAUACACGGAAGCGUGGGGUCUUUCGAUGUUGGGGUGUUGGGGCCAAAAGUUUGCCCUCCGAUUGAGGUCUUCGACCCUUCUUUAUGUACCAGGGGGUAGGGAAGCCCCAACUUUCUGAAACAGGAUUGGUUUGAGUGGUCUACUAGGUAUGCUAUCUUUAUGUGCGUGGGGUAGAAUUAAAUCGGGGACAGGACAGGUGGCGUACAUGGUAUUCAUCAAUUCUUCAAAAUGGACAUUAUCUUACACAAUUCCUCCUAAUUGCCCCUUUAGACUCCUGCGUAAAAUGGGCGGUUAGCAGAGGAUCAUCACGGAUGAAUCAAAGUGACCCUUAUCCGUCAAUAUAGAUGGAAGGGUGGAGUAGUUGAAGAGCGAGAUGGG